GUGAGUAGUUCAGAGUUUGAUCCUGGCUCAGGAUGAACGCUGGCGGCGUGCCUAACACAUGCAAGUCGAACGAAGCAUCUGGCAUUGAUUUCUUCGGAUUGAAGAGCCUUAUGACUGAGUGGCGGACGGGUGAGUAACGCGUGGGUAACCUGCCUCAUACAGGGGGAUAACAGUUAGAAAUGACUGCUAAUACCGCAUAAGCGCACAGCAUCGCAUGGUGCAGUGUGAAAAACUCCGGUGGUAUGAGAUGGACCCGCGUCUGAUUAGCUAGUUGGUGGGGUAAUGGCCUACCAAGGCGACGAUCAGUAGCCGGCCUGAGAGGGUGAACGGCCACAUUGGGACUGAGACACGGCCCAA
rnacentral:rRNA from 1 species